rnacentral:rRNA from 1 species
AUUGAACGCUGGCGGAAUGCUUUACACAUGCAAGUCGAACGGCAGCACGGGGGCAACCCUGGUGGCGAGUGGCGAACGGGUGAGUAACACAUCGGAACGUGCCCAGGCGGGGGGGAGAACGUAGCGAAAGUUACGCUAAUACCGCAUACGAUCUACGGAUGAAAGCGGGGCACCGUAACGCCUCGCGCGCUGGGAGCGGCCGAGAGCAGAUUAGGUAGUUGGUGGGUUAAAGGGCCACCAAGCCAACGAUCUGUAGCUGGUCUGAGAGGACGACCAGCCACACUGGAACUGAGACAGGGUCCAGACUCCUACGGGAGGCAGCAGUGGGGAAUGUUGGACAAUGGGCGAAAGCCUGAUCCAGCCAUUCCGCGUGCAGGAGGAAGGCCCUCGGGUUGUAAACUGCUUUUGUACAGAACGAAAAGGUUUCUACUAAUACUAGGAGCUCAUGACGGUACUGUAAGAAUAAGCACCGGCUAACUACGUGCCAGCAGCCGCCGCAG